rnacentral:rRNA from 1 species
AACGAACGCUGGCGGCAGGCCUAACACAUGCAAGUCGAGCGAAGCCUUCGGGCUUAGCGGCGGACGGGUGAGUAACGCGUGGGAACGUGCCCUUUGCUACGGAAUAGCCCCGGGAAACUGGGAGUAAUACCGUAUGUGCCCUUCGGGGGAAAGAUGUAUCGGCAAAGGAUCGGCCCGCGUUGGAUUAGGUAGUUGGUGGGGUAAUGGCCUACCAAGCCGACGAUCCAUAGCUGGUUUGAGAGGAUGAUCAGCCACACUGGGACUGAGACACGGCCCAGACUCCUACGGGAGGCAGCAGUGGGGAAUCUUAGACAAUGGGGGAAACCCUGAUCUAGCCAUGCCGCGUGAUCGAUGAAGGCCUUAGGGUUGUAAAGAUCUUUCAGUGGGGAAGAUAAUGACUGUACCCACAGAAGAAGCCCCGGCUAACUCCGUGCCAGCAGCCGCCGCAGUAA